GUGGGGAAUUUUGGACAAUGGGCGAAAGCCUGAUCCAGCCAUGCCGCGUGCAGGAUGAAGGCCUUCGGGUUGUAAACUGCUUUUGUACGGAACGAAAAGGCUCCUUCUAAUAAAGGGGGUCCAUGACGGUACCGUAAGAAUAAGCACCGGCUAACUACGUGCCAGCAGCCGCGGUAAUACGUAGGGUGCAAGCGUUAAUCGGAAUUACUGGGCGUAAAGCGUGCGCAGGCGGUUAUAUAAGACAGAUGUGAAAUCCCCGGGCUCAACCUGGGAACUGCAUUUGUGACUGUAUAGCUAGAGUACGGUAGAGGGGGAUGGAAUUCCGCGUGUAGCAGUGAAAUGCGUAGAUAUGCGGAGGAACACCGAUGGCGAAGGCAAUCCCCUGGACCUGUACUGACGCUCAUGCACGAAAGCGUGGGGAGCAAACAGGAUUAGAAACCCCAGUAGUCC
rnacentral:rRNA from 1 species